ensembl:lncRNA
GAGCCCAGAUUGGACAUUAACACUCAGCUAAAGAUUAAUUAAUUAAUCACUUACUUCUUAAAGUACAAGAGCAAGUAAACUAAACAGUACUCUGGUCCUGCACUGGUUUAAACUCUAACAACUUAACAGAGUGAACCCUUUUAUAGGCCUGGGCACUCAUCGUGAUGGUAGAGGAGAAACAGCUGUCACAUCAUUUUUAUCAUUAUUAUUAUUAUUAUUAUUAUUAUUAUUAUUAUUAUUAUUAUUAUUAUUAUCAUCAUCAUUAUGAAAAAGCAUCUGAAGCACUGUUAAAAUGGUUUCCCACUGCCUUUCAGAGGACGGUUUAGGAAUGUGACACUGCUGCACUCUAGACUCUCUUAUAUGAUCCACACUGAUUUGACUGCAAACUGUCAAAUCUAAAAGACUUUAUACCUUUUAAUUUCCUAUAGAGGAGCAGAGCUCCAAGCAGAACUAGAACCAGAAGAAUCACAGAAACCAGACCGGCUAUCAUGGCAACGAUGGAGGAGGAGGAGGAAAGAGUAGGAGAUGCUGUCCCAGUACACGGACAUGCAGAAGUAUCGGGAGAGUUUACAGGAGAGGUGCAGGCUGUGGUGAGGAUGAAGAUGGUUCAGUCAGUUCAUUAUCAGGUCAGCAGGAAGUGCAGGAAUCUCCAGGAUCACACCUUUAUCUAACCAACAGAAACACAAACAGAGCAUGACACAAUGUCUUUGGAAAAACAGUAAUGUUACAUCCAACCUCUGGAAACAUCUGCACAGAGACACCGCUGGAACAUCUCCCUGUCUCUACCUGAAACACUGAUGGACAAUUUAUCACUCUGCUGUCCAGAUGGGUUCUCACAGAAGUAACUUCCAUCAGAGGAGAUGGAGCGAUCCAGAACACAGGAGGAACCAAGAAGCCUCCCAAAGCCUGCAGCUGCUCCACAGUCCUCAGUGAGUCCUCCUCUGGUCCUCUUCACUGUCCAUCCAUCAGCUGUCUGUCCAUCAUCAACACAACUCAGAGACACUGAAGAACUGCCGAAGGUUUGGACUGACUGACAAAGACACUGGAGGACACACACACACACACACAGAGUAAAUGUAUUUGUGUUCUUGUUGGAGUCUCACUGAUUGUUUUCACUUCCAUCAACUCACCUGCAGAAACAGUCGGUGCAGACAGCAGCAGCACACACACACCUGCAACAGGAGGACAGAGGUCACUAAGUAAAGCAGGACUCAUAUGGAUUGCAUAAAUGGUGGUAAAUGGCAGCAUGGUGGUGCAGUGGUUAACACUGUUGCCUCACAGAAGGUCUUGAGGUAAAUAGCAUGCAGAACAAAUGCCACACCAAACGAGGAUGUUGAGGUAAUGAUACACCUGCUCGGUCUGUGGUUUUUUGUCAGACUUGGCGACCACAGCAUUGUUUUUUUAAGUUUUAUGGUCCAAAGUUUUGACACAUAGAAUAAGUGCUGGGAUAUUUUUGCUUCAUAUAUCUAAAACUUUUCAAGAUGUGCUUUUUUUGAUAAAUGGCCCAUCUACACUUUUUCAGGGUUUGUUUCACACUCAAAUAUUUUUAAAAAGUGCCUGAGUGUUGGCUUGUUAAAAUACAUGAGAAAAAAAUCCAGCCAUGUUGUAAAGUGUAUUUGAACGCACACAAAUAAAAACCUGCAAAAUGCAAACCCCAAAUAGU